AUUGAACGCUGGCGGCAGGCCUAACACAUGCAAGUCGAGCGGAUGAAGGGAGCUUGCUCCUGGAUUCAGCGGCGGACGGGUGAGUAAUGCCUAGGACACUGCCUGGUAGUGUGGGAUAACGUCCGGAAACGGGCGCUAAUACCGCAUACGUUCUGAGGUCGAAAGGGGGGGAUCUUCGGACCUCACGCUAUCAGAUGAGCCUAGGUCGGAUUCGCUAGUUGGUGGGGUAAAGGCCUACCAAGGCGACGAUCCGUAACUGGUGUGAGAGGAUGAUCAGUCACACGGGAACUGGCACACGGUCCAGACUACUACGGGAGGCAGCAGUGGGGAAUAGUGGACAGUGGGCGAAAGUCUGAUCCAGCCAUGCCGAGUGUGUGUAGAAGGUCUUCGGAUUGUAAAGCACUUUAAGUUGGGAGGAAGGGCAGUAAGUUAAUACCUUGCUGUGUUGACGUUACCAACAGAAUAAGCACCGGCUAACUUCGUG
rnacentral:rRNA from 1 species